GACAGAGGUGCCAAGCGUUAGGCGGAAUCACUGGGCUUAAAGCGUGCGUAGGCGGAAUGGUAAGUACCUUGUGAAAUCCCACGGCUCAACCGUGGAACUGCUUGGUAUACUGCUUUUCUUGAGCCACUUAGGGGCAACCGGAACAAACGGUGGAGCGGUGAAAUGCGUAGAUAUCGUUUGGAACGCCAAUGGUGAAAACAGGUUGCUGGGAGUGUGCUGACGCUGAGGCACGAAAGCCAGGGGAGCAAACGGG
rnacentral:rRNA from 1 species